AGUGAACGCUGGCGGCAGGCCUAACACAUGCAAGUCGAGCGGCAGCGCGUCCGACCACCCUCGGGUGGUCGGAUGGCGGCGAGCGGCGGACGGGUGAGGAAUGCAUCGGAAUCUGCCUCGUUGUGGGGGAUAACGUAGGGAAACUUACGCUAAUACCGCAUACGACCUACGGGUGAAAGUGGGGGACCGUUCGGGCCGUCACGCGAUGAGAUGAGCCGAUGCCGGAUUAGCUAGUUGGCGGGGUAAAGGGACCCGACCAACGGCGACGAUCCGUAGCUGGUCUGAGAGGAUGAUCAGCCACACUGGAACUGAGACACGGUCCAGACUCCUACGGGAGGCAGCAGUGGGGAAUAUUGGACAAUGGGGGCGAACCCUGAUCCAGCCAUGCCGCGUGUGUGAAGAAGGCCUCGGUUGUAAG
rnacentral:rRNA from 1 species